rnacentral:rRNA from 1 species
GACGAACGCUGGCGGCGUGCCUAAUACAUGCAAGUCGAGCGGACCCUUCGGGGUUAGCGGCGGACGGGUGAGUAACACGUGGGUAAUCUGCCCAACUGACUGGAAUAACGCCUGGAAACGGGUGCUAAUGCCGGAUAGGCAACUGGUAGGCAUCUACCGGUUGGGAAAGGUGCAACUGCACCGCAGAUGGAGGAGCCCGCGGCGCAUUAGCUAGUUGGUGGGGUAACGGCCUACCAAGGCGACGAUGCGUAGCCGACCUGAGAGGGUGACCGGCCACACUGGGACUGAGACACGGCCCAGACUCCUACGGGAGGCAGCAGUAGGGAAUCUUCCGCAAUGGGCGCAAGCCUGACGGAGCAACGCCGCGUGAGCGAAGAAGGCCUUCGGGUUGUAAAGCUCAGUCACUCGGGAAGAGCGGACGAGGGAGUGGAAAGCCCUCGUCGAGACGGUACCGAGAGAGGAAGCCCCGGCUAACUACGUG